rnacentral:rRNA from 1 species
UACGGAGGGGGCAAGCGUUGUUCGGAAUUACUGGGCGUAAAGGGCGCGUAGGCUAUUUAGUAAGUUGAAAGUGAAAUCCUUGGGCUUAACCCAAGAACUGCUUUCAAAACUGCUAAGUUAGAGAUUGAUAGAGGGUGAUGGAAUUCCUAGUGUAGAGGUGAAAUUCUUAGAUAUUAGGAGGAACACCAGAGGCGAAAGCGAUCACCUGGGUCACAUCUGACGCUGAGGCGCGAAAGCGUGGGGAGCAAACAGG